rnacentral:rRNA from 1 species
CGAAGCAACGCGAAGAACCUUACCAGGUCUUGACAUCCCUCUGAAGUAUGCUUAGCAGCAUAUGUCCUUCGGGACAGGGGAGACAGGUGGUGCAUGGUUGUCGUCAGCUCGUGUCGUGAGAUGUUGGGUUAAGUCCCGCAACGAGCGCAACCCUUGCUAUUAGUUGCUAACAGGUAGAGCUGAGCACUCUAAUGGGACUGCCGGUGACAAGCCGGAGGAAGGUGGGGAUGACGUCAAAUCAUCAUGCCCUUUAUGACCUGGGCUACACACGUGCUACAAUGGAUGGUACAGAGAGCAGCGAGGCAGCGAUGUGGAGCGAAUCUCAAAAAGCCAUUCUCAGUUCGGAUUGGAGUCUGCAACUCGACUCCAUGAAGUCGGAAUCGCUAGUAAUCGCGAAUCAGCAUGUCGCGGUGAACUGCGUUCCCGGGCCUU